rnacentral:rRNA from 1 species
AUUGAACGCUGGCGGCAGGCCUAACACAUGCAAGUCGAACGAGUGGCGGACGGGUGAGUAAUGUCUGGGAAACUGCCUGAUGGAGGGGGAUAACUACUGGAAACGGUAGCUAAUACCGCAUACCAUCGGAUGUGCCCAGAUGGGAUUGGCUUGUUGGUGGGGUAACGGCUCACAAAGGCGACGAUCCCUAGCUGGUCUGAGAGGAUGACCAGCCACACUUGAACUGAGACACGGUCCAGACUCCUACGGUAGGCAGCAGUGGGGAAUAUUGCACAAUGGGCGCAAGCCUGAUGCAGCCCUGCCGCGUGUAUGAAGAAGGCCUUCGGGUUGUAAAGUACUUUCAGCGGUGAGGCGUUACCCGCAGAAGAAGCACCGGCUAACUCCGUGCCAGCAGCCGCGGUAAUUC